GCGGGAGUGGCGAAAUUGGUAGACGCACCAGAUUUAGGUUCUGGCGCCGCAAGGUGUGCGAGUUCGAGUCUCGCCUCCCGCACCA
rnacentral:tRNA from 2 species